rnacentral:lncRNA from 1 species
AAACAGAGCAUAACGUGAGAGAUAGAGAGAAAAGUAAGGAAAAACAAUAAGGAAAUUGAGAGAAUAACUUUAUAAACUUGCAAGUUAAACCUAUAAAACACUAAAUCAAGUGAAGGAAGGAGGAUUUGAGAAGGGGAAUUCAGCUAACCUUGGAAGAGAAGAGAAAUUGGAAGAAAAACAAUAGGUAAGCAUGAGAAGUUUGGAUUUAAUGUUGAUUUAGAUGUUUUUCCUAAGCUUAUUUGAUUAAAUUAGGAAGUAAUUUCAUGGAACUUUACCUUAGUUUCCCUUAAAUUCUAGAUUAUUGAACUUAGGGUUCUUAUGUGAAUUUGGGGGAAUUAGGAGGGGAAGGGAAAAUGAUGAAAUUGAAGAGGAAUAGAAUGAAAACAAGUUGAAAUAACAGUAAAUGAAGAAGAUUUGGGGGAGGAAAAAGAAACAUCACAUUCGGCCAAUGAAGGAAAAAAAUAAAAAUGGGAGAAUGAGUUUUGAUGUUAAUGUUUAGAAAAAAAACCAUGUUUAAUCAUGAUAAAUGAAAAUGUAAGAAAGACUAAAUGAAGAGAUAGCAUUUAAGUUGAGAAAUAAUAAUAAUAAUAAUAUAAUAAUAUGUAAAUUCAAAUUAAAAGAGAAAUACUUAGUAAAAGAAAAUAUGAAGACAAGAUGCCUAGAUUGUGUUUGAAUAUAGUAUUUAAAUAAAAUAAAUAAUAUGAUGUGAGGGUAUAAAGAAUAGAAGAAUUAUUUGAUGGAGGAUUAUGAACAUAGAGAAACAAAGAAGUAACUUGAGUAAAUAUGAGGUUGUAUGUAAAAUAAUGAUGUUAUAGAGAAUGAAUUUUUAUUAGAACAAAUUACAAAUAAAAUUAUGUGCUUUAUGUUUCAUAAAAAAAUUGAUGGACUAAUGAUAUUAAUGAUUGAUUGAUUCAGGAGCUGUGUCUGGAGCUGGUUAUCAGACAGGAGGAGCUGGGUCAUCCCGAACAGAAGGUAGGUGAAUUCGUCACCUUUUUUGUAAUUUUUAGUUUUCCUAAUUAUCUAUGUUGCUUAUUUAAUUGUAUUAAAUGAAUGGAGCAAAUGAAUAUUUGAGUUAUGAUUAUGUGAAAUUACCGGUUUUAUUGGUUAACAAGAGGUAAACGGAUAUGGGGUAAUUUGUAUGGAAUUACCGGAUUGUUUGACUAAUACAAGAGAUUAGCCGGAUGCUAGGUAAUUCGAAUGGAAUUACCGGAUUGAUUGGCUAACAAAAGAGGAUUAGCCGGAUACUGGGUGAUUUCAUAUGGAAUUACCGGAUUGAUUUGCUAAUCGAAAUGGUUAGUCGGAUUUUUGGGUAAUAAUAGAAUUACCGGGUUUAUUGGUUAACAAAGAGGUUAACUGGAUAAGGAGUAAUUCAUAUGGAAUUACCGGAUUGAUUGGCUAACAAAAAGAGGUUAGCUGGAUGAUAGGUAAUUCAAAUGGAAUUACUGGUCUAUUGGUAACGAGGAAGGAAAAAAAUGUUUUUGGGUAUCUAUAUGGAAGUGUUAGAUUAUUUGGUAAUUAAGAGAAUUAGUUGGAUUUUUAAGUCCUAAAAAGAUUAUGUAAAUUAUAGGAGUAAGUUAGAUUGAAGUAUAAGUACUAAAAUUUCAAAGGUUAAGAGUAAUUAUUUAAUAUUAGAUUAAUAUAAUGAGAAAGUUAAUUAAUAUGGUUGUUGUUGAAACAGGUAUGCCACGAGGUGAUGCAGAUCGUUAGAUGUAGGAAUUCUCCUGUUUAUGAAUUACCAUUUUGGAAUGUAAUAUUCAUGUCUUUACUUUCAAUGUAAAUCCUUUUGUGAUGCAAAAAUCAAGUAAAAGGUGUAAUAGGUAGUG